CAGCCGCCGCGGUAAAACCAGCACCUCAAGUGGUCAGGAUGAUUAUUGGGCCUAAAGCGUCCGUAGCCGGCUCUGUAAGUUUUCGGUUAAAUCUGUACGCUCAACGUACAGGCUGCCGGGAAUACUGCAGAGCUAGGGAGUGGGAGAGGUAGACGGUACUCGGUAGGAAGGGGUAAAAUCCUUCGAUCUAUUGAUGACCACCUGUGGCGAAGGCGGUCUACCAGAACACGUCCGACGGUGAGGGAUGAAAGCUGGGGGAGCAAACCGGAUUAGAUACCCGGGUAGUCCCAGCUGUAAACUAUGCAAACUCAGUGAUGCAUUGGCUUGUGGCCAAUGCAGUGCUGCAGGGAAGCCGUUAAGUUUGCCGCCUGGGAAGUACGUACGCAAGUAUGAAACUUAAAGGAAUUGGCGGGGGAGCAC
rnacentral:rRNA from 2 species